rnacentral:tmRNA from 1 species
GGGGCUGACUGGUAUCGACAGGAAAGUUGAUUGGUUAGUAAGCAUGCCGGAGCAUUGGCCUUACACUCCGUUAAUAAAUGAAGUCCAUAUAAUAAUUGGCGAUAGACAAUUCGCACUAGCAGCGUAAUCUAGGUAUUACAAAGCUUUUAAGCACUGUGGUUGAUGCCUGAUAUACAUCUCACUGCUUUCAAAUUUUCAGGUAAGGGUGCCGGAGGACUUCGGUCGGCAUUCGAGAUUAAGAAGUUAAGAUGAAGGUGUCGUCGUUUCUAUACCUACCUGAUUCCGACAAUCUGAAUAGAAACUAAGCAUGUAGAAAGCUCUCUGGUGCUUUGUCUGGACCCGGGUUCGAAUCCCGGCAGCUCCACUA